rnacentral:rRNA from 1 species
UACGUAGGGCGCAAGCGUUGUCCGGAAUUAUUGGGCGUAAAGAGCUCGUAGGCGGCUUGUCACGUCGGGUGUGAAAGCCCGGGGCUUAACCCCGGGUCUGCAUUCGAUACGGGCUGGCUAGAGUGUGGUAGGGGAGAUCGGAAUUCCUGGUGUAGCGGUGAAAUGCGCAGAUAUCAGGAGGAACACCGGUGGCGAAGGCGGAUCUCUGGGCCAUUACUGACGCUGAGGAGCGAAAGCGUGGGGAGCGAACAGGAUUAGAAACCCCCGUAGUCC